UAGCCGACCUGUGAUGCAGCCUAGCCGGCCCGUAAAUCUGGCUCCCCAGAUGCCCCAGCAGCCUAGCCGGCCUGUGAUGCAACCAUCUAGCUGGCUUAAUUCUGCGUAUUAUCAUCAAGGGGAAGUACCUGGACAUGUUGCUGCACUGCAGAUGCAAGGCUAAUGUUUGAAAUGCAUAAUACAAAUAAAAAAAAAUGAAAUGAUCCCGUUUGUGUUCUAUUGCCAGUAGCCUGUACCUCAACCUAAAAGCUUUAAACUGACUGUAGCAACAUUGAGGGCA